GUCUCUAUUUUAAUAAACUUUAAGAAAAUUUUAAACAGCAAAAUUAUAAAAUAUAAAGAUACAGUUUUAGAAGGAUAUAUACACUUCACCCUUAUAACCCCAGUAAUACUGUUCAGGCUCUGCUGAGCUGGGAAAAAGGGUUCUUUUUUCAAAGUGCAGAUUGAAGGGGUUUUAAUGGUUGGGGGGCAUCUAAUUGCAGAUAUUAUCUCCCAAAGGAGUUCUGUGGGUCAGCCAUAUAACAAUUGACCCCAGAAUGUGCACCUUUUUCAUUCUGCUCCCCCAUCCAACCUCUUCAGAUCAAAUUCAGUCAGCAGGUGACCUGAAAACACCUCAUACACUUGGUUUCCCUCGGAAGACCCUGACACCUGGAUUACAACGAGUGUCAAAUGUGCAUUGAAUGCAGAUUAAUUUAGCACCAAAAUGAGAACCGUUCUGAUCCUGGAGGGAGUACCACAACACUAGUGGUACUUUGGAUACCUAGAGAAUUCAGCUUAGCAAUUCAUCGAAGCCUAAUCACUUUGCCGCAUAAUAAACUUCUCCUCAAGAUAUUUCAUUGGGAAAUGGAGUGAUUGUGUAUCUGCUACCAACAUCUGGUAGAACAAGUUAGCUUGUUUUGGGAUCUAAUGAUCCCAUGACUAAUGUAGAGCAAUUCCUGUCUCUAUCAAUAAGUACUUAUUCCAAAAUUGAUUUGGGAAUCCUCAUCAGGUUGAUUUCAUGAGUGACACGAUCACUGAAUCAGUAACAUCUGACAGUUCCCCAGUUUUAGCUGGGGUCAGAUUCUGCCCUCACCAAAGAGCAACAAGCUCAAAUGAAAUCAAAUGGCUUUUUCUCAGUGACCUCUGCAUUGAAGAUUGCUGCUGCCUUGGGCUGAGACCAGGAGUACACCAUUCUGCCUGGCCAGCAGGAAUGAUAUGCGACCACCAAACACACGCCAGCCCCGGUUCCCGCUACCACCCCCCGCCCCCCCACCCCCCCCCCCCCGCCCCCCCCGCCCAACCCCGAUCAACGGGAAGGGAAAUAAGGUCAGCUGGAUCACUGGAAAUAAAACUGGGCGGGAUCAAAGAGGUCAUCGUGAAACAAUCAACAACCUAUGAAAUGAAAGGGAUCUUAAAAUGCGAUUUUUGUACAGAUUAACACCUAGAAAUUAAGAUUUUCUAGACUACUUUCACAUCAUCGCCCAGUGUGAUCAGAUGAAUGCACGUUGUUCUUAAUUCACAGCUUAAAAGGAAGCCCUUAAAUCAUUUUUUGUAAACAUUUUCUAACUCCAUCCUACCAGCGGAAUAUUGACUCUCUGUAACCAUUGCUCUCUGAAAACCCAGGAGUGUGGUUACAACGCCUGAAUUCAAACCAUCAAUGACCAGCAUCAGAGAAGCCCCCAUUGAUCAGAUGGAUCGUCAGGUUUUCUGCUUUAACUUUUGUUUCAAAGUAUAAAAAUCAAUGACCCGUAAAGGGGUUGAAAGUUUCUUGAAGAGGCAGCAGCAAGAAAAAUAUCAUACAAAAGAAAAGUAACAAGCUGGCAGAGUUGUCUGACAUUUCCCAAAUGCUCUAACAUGCUGGUUUGUGCCUUGAAGUUAAUGACUAUCAGUUUUAAGAGGUUUCAUGUAUUUUUGUGACAGGUUAGUGAAAAGCCUUAAAGCCACUCCCAUAUGCUUUCUGUUUACAGCAGAUAAAAGAAUUUAACAUAGAAUAGGGCAGCAUUUAACUUUAUUCAGCCAACUGAGUCUGCAUGUACUUCUUGGAAAGAUACUCGAACUUUGGAAAUUAAUAUUUGAAGGGGCAAUUUUCAAGGUUUGCAGCCUAAACCCUCUCUCACUACAGCCUCUGAAUGGAGUGGGUUGCACAGACCAGGAGUUAAUCGCAUAGCUACAGAGGGACAACAUCACCCAAAGAUGACUUGCUUUUUUUAAAGAAAAGUCUCCAAUCAGGAAGAUUCAACUGGGCCUUUGGGAAUUCCUCUGCCAUUGUUUUGAAAAUGGGCUCACCUUUUUAAAGAAUUACAGCAAGAACCAGCUGAGAUGGAAGCAAAUUCUGAUCCAGCUUUUUGAAUGGUUGCAAACAGUUCAAAUACCUUGACUAGUAACUAGAAAAAAGCAAGAUGCAAUAAACAUUCCUCUGAAUGCCUAAAAGAUUAUACUGAAGAUUUGCCCAGAACUCAAAUGCACAAAGAUUAAGGGACAGUGAC